CCCUUUACCUGGUAACAUCGCCCUGUAAAAUCAGUGGCCAGCUCUCAGUUCGUACUGAUUACCAAUGACAUUUCGCUACCGCUACUGUUAACAACGAAAAUUGUUGAGUUCAACAAAAAGAACGUAUCGUAGAUCCUCAAGAUCAUUUCGUAUUUUGUUCACAAAAGCGAAGGACUAAAAACCAACUACUACUACGAACAUGGCUUGUCGUGAUAAGGUCAUGGAUCAAUGCAAGGAGUACAGUGCCUGCCCCGCAAAUGAGAAAAAUGCCCAGCUUACUACUGGAACUGGAUGUCCCGUCGGCGACAAGUUGAACAUCCAGACCGCUGGAAAACGGGGACCCGCUUUGCUCCAAGAUGUUGUCUUCAUUGAUGAGAUGGCUCACUUCGACAGGGAGAGGAUCCCCGAACGUGUGGUGCACGCCAAGGGAGCUGGUGCCUUCGGCUAUUUCGAGGUAACUGACGAUAUUACGAAGUAUUCGAAGGCUGCCGUCUUCGCUUCGAUCGGCAAACGAACCCCCAUCGCUGUUCGUUUUUCCACCGUCGGUGGCGAGUCAGGUUCGGCUGAUACUGUCCGUGACCCGCGUGGUUUCGCUGUGAAGUUCUACACUGAGGAGGGUAAUUGGGAUAUUGUGGGCAAUAACACACCGAUUUUUUUUAUUCGUGACCCGUUCUUGUUCCCCAGUUUCAUUCACACGCAGAAGCGGAACCCUCGCACUCAUUGCAAAGAUCCUGACAUGUUCUGGGACUUUCUUUCAUUGCGCCCCGAAAGCACCCACCAAGUUCUCAUCCUCUUCUCCGACCGAGGAAUUCCUAAUGGAUACCGCCACAUGAAUGGGUACGGCAGCCACACAUUCAAGCUGGUCAAUGCUGAUAAUGACAUCAACUACUGCAAGUUCCACUACAAGACUGAUCAGGGUAUCAGUAACUUGACAGUCGAGCGUGCCAACGAGUUGGCUGCCUCAGAUCCGGAUUACUCUAUCCGCGACCUGUACAACGCCAUCGAGAACGGCAAGCACCCGUCGUGGACUCUGUACAUUCAGAUUAUGACUUCUCAACAAGCAGAGAAGUUCCCCUUUAAUCCAUUCGACGUCACCAAGGUGUGGCCUCAUGCAGACUACCCGUUAAUUCCCGUCGGAAAACUUGUAUUGAAUCGUAAUCCUACCAACUAUUUCGCCGAAGUCGAGCAGAUGGCUUUUUCGCCUGCUAACCUCGUGCCCGGAAUCGAGCCAUCACCAGACAAGAUGUUGCAGGGUCGUCUGUUCUCUUACAACGACACCCACCGCCAUCGUCUUGGGCCCAACUACUUGCAAAUCCCUGUCAACUGCCCCUAUGCUACACGAGUACGUAACGCACAGCGCGACGGUGCUAUGUGUAUCAAUGGCAACCAGGGCGCUGCGACUAACUACUACCCGGACUCGUUUGGCGGGCCCGUCACCAACCUUAAAUACAAGGAGAAUUUCGGCGAAAAGUGGGCCACCGCCGACGUCAAUCGUUGGAACUCCGAGGAUGAGGACAACUUUACUCAGCCUGGUCUCUUCUACAAAAUGCUGUCGCAGCCUGAGAGGGAGCGGCUCGCUUCGAAUAUCGCCAACCAUCUUAAGGAUGCCCAAGAUUUCAUUCAGCAGCGCGCUAUUAAGAACUUCACCUCCGCUCACCCCGCCCUUGGAGCUGCUAUCCGAUCCAAGAUCCAGGCUCUCGCGACUGAAAGCAAUGAAAUCUGAUAUGGGGACUCUUCCCCUACCAGCACGCCAUUCCCAGAUCAUUCACACUUGCGUCCAACCUCUCCACCUUCCCGCUACCGACCCCCUACGCCACCGAUCUCAUUUUCACAAAGUUCUUCCUUGCACGCUAAUACUUCGGUUCCCCUUUCUGACAAAGCUUCUAUGCUAGAUGAGGAUUUCGAAGAAGAGGGUUCCUCAAUGGAUACCGAUCAGUUGGUGCCGCAGCAAAAGGCUUUAGCAGAUACGACGCAAGUCGGGGACAGCGCUGAAGACCCAACAGCAACUGAAAGCCGCGUAGGGCAUUCGGGCGAGAUGGACAUGACGGAUAUGCUAAUCGGUCUCCAACAAAUGGAGGACCAGUUGCAGACGGCCGCUUCGUCUUCUGUCUCGCAAGUUGCCACUGCGUCCCAAUAUGCUGCUGGUAUGCUUGGCCCUAAUUUGCAGGGGCAAGCAACUGUCGUAGCUGACGGCAAACCUAGCGUCGCUUUGGAAAAUAAUCAGUCUAUGUGUGCUCCCAACGUGGUCUCAUCCAUUUGUUCGCCCACAUUUUGGCCCUUUCGAUAACGCACAAUAUAACCUGCGAUGAAAAUAACGAAGGUGGAGGCCAACAAGGCUCAUAUCACGAUCAUGCGAUUUAAUCCUACUAUAUUGUUGAUUAAAAUUAUCAGCGGCGUAAACAACAAGAUAGAAAAAUGCGCUCGCACGCACAUUAGCAAAGAAUCUGCCUGGUAUAAUAGGUUUAGUGGGUAAUUUCUCUCUGUGUGUCUAUGUCGGUUAGCGAGCGUACGUCUGUCGCAAUUUAGAAUUGGCGUUGGAGCGCACACUGCUGCAUAUAAGCCUUUAUAUAACCCGCUGUGUGAAUGUCGACCGAUCAGAUUAUGUUUACAAAAUCAAGGAUACUUUUACUAGCAUGAUUCUAUAAGUAUAUCCUUGUCCGAGCUCUCACAAGGGCAUCCUUCUCGAAGGCCGUCAAAAAUCUGCUCUCUUCUUCUGUCACUCUAUUGCUCCUUAAAUUUGCCCCUGUAUAUUUUUCACCCCCCUUUUUGUUUGCCCCUGUCCUUGAGCCUUAUAUGGGUAUGUCUGGUGGCCGCUAUGUUUUCGAUUUGUUGGCCCAUUUAUGCUCUCUUCUAUACCUCUACCCAGUCGUUACAACCUUCUUCCGUGUUACGUCUUCGACCCAAACUCCAUUCGUCACAGCAAUUUCAUCAACGGUGCUUUUCGCUCCAGGAAAAAGCUAAGCUCUGAUAGUAGCUAUACGCUGGACACUGAUUGCAAAAAAGAGCGUAGAUAGAAGGCCGGAAAAGCAGGAAUAAGGGUCGACCGAUGUGUGCGACAUGCUGAUAUGUCCCGUUAUUAAUAUAUCAUGCGCAUAAUAUCUAAUACUAAUAAUAAAAUGUGAAUAGAUGAAACAAACCAGUAUUUUUACUCGUUGUAUUGCUAAAGUGCCAUAAACAGAGAUUAAAAUUUUUUGGUUUUACAGGAUAUGAACUUUAUACCGAUACAGAAAUACAAUCUUUCUGUGUGUUGUUCACAGCCCCAAUUGCCCUGUUUUUAUUUACUGAUAGAGUUAAAUAAUUUUAUCGCAUGUCAUUUGCGCAUGAGAAUCUAUUUCAACACAAAUAAAUAAUUUAAAGGGAUAACACUAACCGCAAGGAAUCUGUAAAAAGAGUUUUCAAAGAGUCUCAUGGCGACAAUAAAUCAGAGACGGCAGCUAAAAAAACUAUCAUCCAUCAAAGCUCGAUGCAGAAAAAAGCACGACAACGAAAGAAGAAACACCGAAAAAUUCGAAAUUACGAUCAUGCAUUUAAUUAUAAUCGAAAAGUACGUCGAGCCAUUUCGAAAAGUUUACUUCAAUAUGGCACUCAUGAAUUUGCGCUAUUUUUUACUGCAUCCGCCUCAAGAGGACAAACCAAAGCUACAAUAAUGCAACUCUGUAAUAACACAAAGGUUUAAUAAAUAACACUGGAAAGAAUAGUGACCAUUUAUCAUAGUGAGAAACACAUGUUUUUACUGCCGGCAUGCGAAGAUUUGCCACGCAGUAAAAAAUGCGGGAAAUAAAUAGGCAUAUUGAGUAAGGAAUAUUGAGUAUUAUAUUGGAAUGCGUAAAUAUAACUCUAUUGGGCGUCCUCGAUAGGGCGACAUCGUUUAAUUGGUUUUGAUCGCUAAGAGUUACUUAAUGUUCCGUUCAUAUAAAUAACCGCAGUUGAAUUGUUAGCAGAAAAAGAACGAGUUAUUUUCGCGCAUCUAUUUCGUAGCAGUGAAAUUUCGACUCAAGAUACCAUAAGACGCCGGUCGUACAUAAAUCAACAGUCUUGAUUAUAAUGUUGGCAAUCUAGUUUUAUUUAAGUACACUACAUGCGGGGCACCAUGACACAACUAUAAACCUCAUGACUGCUAGGUAGGCUGAUUUGCUAUAUAAAAAUAACAUAGAAUUUUUGUGCUAUAAUUAUACCAAGGUUUUUGCUUGGUACUGUCCCAAACUCAGCGGCUGAGAAGAUUAUAAUAGGGACUAAGAAAUAGUUAACUGAGUAAAGAACAACUACGUUUGUGAUGAUGGUCGUUGAUUCGAGUAUUCCGCCGAGAUGUAUGCUUGCACCGAUCUUUAAUUUUAUGGGUAUAAUAUUUGUGACGUUAAUAAAAACAAUGAAUUCGUUUAAAAAUACUUUUUCUAGUUGACUUUAGCUAAAUAUUUGGAAGUUAGAGUUUUGGCUUCCGAGCAUUACGGUUAUUCACACAACUUGUUGUGAAAUGAAACAAGCCUCGCUUUGUCAUGUUUUUGUAUUGUAAAAAUAUGUGUUGUCCUCGCGCUUCAGUAAAAAAAAUAUCGGUAUUUUCAUGUCAUCAUCAAAAAUUGUAUUACUAGUAAGUAAUUGCCAUAAUAAUAAAAAAUAUGUUAAUUUUCUCGAGUUACUUUUCUUCGUAUUCAUGUAUGCCUCUAGGGUAGCUUUACACCUUAAUUAAUGUUCUAAUAAAUCAUUCCUUAAAGUUGAGCUCCACUUUUACAUGCUUUACUACUAGCUGAAUUUUCACAGAAAACACUCACAAAAGACCGUUAAAAUAUUCCAGAUAAACGUUCUCAUAGGUUAGCAUACUUAGCCCUGUAUCCUUGUCGAUAUUAUAUCUAUGUCGAUAUUGUACAAUUUUUAUACUUUAGUAUUUACUAGCGCAGGUUAACACUAUCAUUGUCUAUCAAUUUAGUAACUAUUGCUAAGUAUAUAACUAUAUAGUUAACGCUAAGCAUAUAGCUGUACUAAAAGGUUUACAAACGCACAUUGAAACUAUAAUUAAUCCUGCCCUAAAUAGAUAGUGGAAAAUGAUGCCUCGCAGGUACUAUAAUCCUACGAGCUACAAAACCCACGAUCCCACCACUGUUUUCCGCAAACAGGACUAAACGCAUCACAUUGAUACUACCCAAUUCGUAAUUUUAUUGGGUACAACAAUCUUCAUUGAACUUAAUUUACAUUAUGA